rnacentral:rRNA from 1 species
UCAUUGCUGGAACGCGCUUCGGCGCACCCAGAAACCCUUUGUGAACUUAUACCUACUGUUGCCUCGGCGCAGGCCGGCCUUUUGUGACAAAGGCCCCCUGGAGAUAGGGAGCAGCCCGCCGGCGGCCAACUAAACUCUUGUUUCUAUAGUGAAUCUCUGAGUAAAAACAUAAAUGAAUCAAAACUUUCAACAACGGAUCUCUUGGUUCUGGCAUCGAUGAAGAACGCAGCGAAAUGCGAUAAGUAAUGUGAAUUGCAGAAUUCAGUGAAUCAUCGAAUCUUUGAACGCACAUUGCGCCCUCUGGUAUUCCGGAGGGCAUGCCUGUUCGAGCGUCAUUUCAACCCUCAAGCCUGGCUUGGUGAUGGGGCACUGCCUUCUAGCGAGGGCAGGCCCUGAAAUCUAUUGGCGAGCUCGCUAGGACCCCGAGCGUAGUAGUUAUAUCUCGUUCUGGAAGGCCCUGGCGGUGCCCUGCCGUUAAACCCCCAACUUCUGAAAAUUUGACCUCGGAUCAGGUAGGAAUAC